CCUACGGGCGGCAGCAGUGGGGAAUAUUGCACAAUGGAGGAAACUCUGAUGCAGCGACGCCGCGUGAGUGAAGAAGGUCUUCGGAUCGUAAAACUCUGUCCUUGGUGAAGAAAAAAAUGACGGUAGCCAAGGAGGAAGCCCCGGCUAACUACGUGCCAGCAGCCGCGGUAAUACGUAGGGGGCGAGCGUUGUCCGGAUUUACUGGGCGUAAAGGGUGAGUAGGCGGUUAUGUAUGUCAGGUGUAAAAGGCGUAGGCUUAACUUACGUUAGCACUUGAAACUGCAUAACUUGAGUGCAGGAGAGGUAAGUGGAAUUCCUAGUGUAGCGGUGAAAUGCGUAGAUAUUAGGAGGAACACCGGUGGCGAAGGCGAAUGUCUGGCCAUGUACUGACGCUGAGACGCGAAGGUGCGGGGAGCAAACAGGUUUAGAUACCCCAGUAGUC
rnacentral:rRNA from 1 species